UACAGAGGUCUCAAGCGUUGUUCGGAUUCAUUGGGCGUAAAGGGUGCGUAGGCGGCGCGGUAAGUCGGGUGUGAAAUCUCGGAGCUUAACUUCGAAACUGCAUUCGAUACUGCCGUGCUUGAGGACUGGAGAGGAGACUGGAAUUUACGGUGUAGCGGUGAAAUGCGUAGAUAUCGUAAGGAAGACCAGUGGCGAAGGCGGGUCUCUGGACAGUUCCUGACGCUGAGGCACGAAGGCCGGGGGGAGCAAACGGG
rnacentral:rRNA from 1 species